UACGGAGGGUGCAAGCGUUAUUCGGAUUUACUGGGCGUAAAGCGCAUGUAGGUGGUUCAAUAAGUCUGGUGUGAAAUCCCUGGACUCAAUUCAGGAAGUGCAUUGGAUACUGUUGGACUGGAGUGUAGGAGAGGAUGACGGAAUUCCUGGUGUAGAGGUGAAAUUCGUAGAUAUCAGGAGGAACAACAGAAGCGAAGGCGGUCAUCUGGACUACAACUGACACUGAGAUGCGAAAGCGUGGGGAGCAAACAGG
rnacentral:rRNA from 1 species